AUGUCCACUAUAUAUGUCACUGUAUGCGUUUCCGCCAGUCCCACUGAUUCCCAGUCUCCUGGACCGAGUUCGGUCAGAACAGCUCUCGGUAAUUCUGGUAGCUCCCAGAUGCUUGUCCGUGUCAUGGUUUCCAGACCUGCAAGCGCUAGUGUUCGGCUCCCCAUGGAGGGCGGAUGCCCUUCUCCAAGCGGAUGGGAUAAUCAAACAUCCUCCAGAAAUAGGCCAACGGCUGUGGGUUUGGCCGCUGAGCGGUUAUGCUUAGAGACUUCUGGGCUGCUGCAUGAUGUGGUCGCCAUGAUUCAGAGUGCGCAGGCGCCUUCUACCGUCACAUCUUAUGCUGCUAAAUGGGCAGCUUUCCAGAAAUGGUGCACAGAGCGGAAUGUUCAAGCACUCUCCUGCCAGCUGGCGGAUGUCCUGUCGUUUCUGCAGAUACUGAUGGACAGGGGCCUCGUAUUCAGCACUGUUAAAACAUAUGCUGCAUCUAUCUCAUCCUGUCACCAGGAUUUUGGAGAUAGAUUUGUUUUCAAUCAUCCCCUCACAAAACGUUUUCUAAAAGGUGUCAGAAGGAACAGACCUGUGCCCCGCCCGCUAGUUCCCCAGUGGGACCUAAUGGUGGUUCUGCGCAGCUUAUCUGAAGCUCCAUUUGAACCCUUGGACCAGGUCUCACUCAAGUUCCUGUCACUCAAAACUGCCUUGCUGCUGGCGAUGGCAUCAGUCAAGAGAGUGAGCGACCUAACCGCCCUCUCAGUGGCUCCCGCAUGCCUCAGGAUCUGGGAAGAUGGUGGGUCUGCUGUUUUAUGCCCCAACCCAGCCUCUGUGGCCAAAAACAUUAAUACUUCCUUCAAAUCCAGGUCAAUUUCAUUGGCUGGACUUUUUCCUCCUCCCCAUAAUUCUGAUGAGGAGGCGAAUUCCCACCUUCUCUGCCCAGUGCGUGCACUCGCACGAUAUGUGUCACGCACUUCAGGGAUUCGCCGCUCACAAAGCAUGUUUGUGCACUACAGAGACUCUUCCCUUGGGCAAGUGCUGUCGACCCAGCAUCUUUCACACUGGCUGUGUGACACCAUUUCACUCACUUACACAUCAUCAGGGCAGGAUCCUCCUGAGACACUCAGGGCUCACUCAGCCAGAGGGAUUUCCUCUUCAAUGGCGCUCCACAGUGGUGUCGAUGGAAGACAUUUGUCAGGCUGCUUCAUGGGCUUCACCCUGUCCCUUUACUCAUUAUUAUUUACGAGAUGGGUCUUCAGGAUCCAUCACUCGUUCAGUGCUUGGACCUCAGCAGGCUGA
ensembl:lncRNA